rnacentral:rRNA from 1 species
CCUACGGGGGGCUGCAGUGGGGAAUAUUGGACAAUGGGGGCAACCCUGAUCCAGCCAUGCCGUGUGUGUGAAGAAGGCCCUCGGGUUGUAAAGCACUUUCAGUGAGGAAGAACGCCUGGUGGUUAAUACCCAUCAGGAAAGACAUCACUCACAGAAGAAGCACCGGCUAACUCCGUGCCAGCAGCCGCGGUAAUACGGAGGGUGCGAGCGUUAAUCGGAAUUACUGGGCGUAAAGCGCGCGUAGGUGGCUUGAUAAGCCGGUUGUGAAAGCCCCGGGCUCAACCUGGGAACGGCAUCCGGAACUGUCAAGCUAGAGUGCAGGAGAGGAAGGUAGAAUUCCCGGUGUAGCGGUGAAAUGCGUAGAGAUCGGGAGGAAUACCAGUGGCGAAGGCGGCCUUCUGGACUGACACUGACACUGAGGUGCGAAAGCGUGGGUAGCAAACAGGAUUAGAUACCCUUGUAGUC